rnacentral:rRNA from 1 species
GACGGGGGGGGCAAGUGUUCUUCGGAAUGACUGGGCGUAAAGGGCACGUAGGCGGUGAAUCGGGUUGAAAGUGAAAGUCGCCAAAAACUGGCGGAAUGCUCUCGAAACCAAUUCACUUGAGUGAGACAGAGGAGAGUGGAAUUUCGUGUGUAGGGGUGAAAUCCCGAGAUCUACGAAGGAACGCCAAAAGCGAAGGCAGCUCGCUGGGACGUAACUGACGCUGAGACGCGAAAGCGUGGGGAGCAAACAGG